AAGCUGCUUUUCUGAUCCUUAGAAUCUAGGGCUUUCUUAUAUAAAUUUACAUGAAGAGAUUUUACUUAACAGAAAGUGUUGUAUGUCAUCUUGGCAGAUAACACACAACUACUGACGGAACACACUUCACGGCCACAUUCAGGUUAAACCCUCCUCCUCUGUUUUCUCCUCGUUGGUUGCUUACCAUGAUGUUCACCAUGGGAACCCUUGUGGCUGUCAUGGUCUUCAUAUCUCAUGUGUAUUAUACCAACGGUGACAAUGUCACUGCAGUCGCCGGGCAAGUCAACAACCUGACGUCACAGAACUACCCGUUAAACUAUUACAAUAACACCGACCUACAGUGGAUGAUUCACUCUACCAGUGGUUUUCUCGUGAAGGUGACUAUUUUAAAUGCCACUAUGGAGCCAUGUUGUGACUAUGUCCAGAUUUUUGACGGU